AUGCGAUACUUGGUGUGAAUUGCAGAAUCCCGUGAACCAUCGAGUCUUUGAACGCAAGUUGCGCCCGAAGCCACUCGGCUGAGGGCACGCCUGCCUGGGUGUCACAC
rnacentral:rRNA from 1 species